GUGUUAAAACACCUGUCACCGUACGAUCACCGCAGUCAAUCAACGCCGAGCCGAGGUAGUACAUAGAUGGGUGACUGCUUGGGAAUACCAGGUGCUGUAAG